GUGUGGCGGCGCUGUUGCCUUCCGCCUGUGCCGCGGAGCUGCGGGAGCGCCGCCUUUCCAGGCUGCCUACUUGACCGAGGACGCUGGCGGCAGUCCAGGUAUACAGCCCCCCCCAGGGCGGUGCUGACAGCAGUGAUGGAGCUGAUCAUCUGCUCGGGAUGGAAGUGCAGAAUAAAAAUGCUGCCCUUAUGAGGCACUGGAUGGACAGAGAAAGAACAGCACCUGAGACAAUAUCCUUAUAAGGCAUCUGAAGGCCAGAAGAGUCAAAAAAGAACAUAAAUAGGUACCUCUUUAAUUGGGGUGGGAUCUAUAGUAAAGCCUGACAGAUAGAACAAAGUCAAAGAAACCCACACAUUUUUACAGCCUAAUAGCCUGCUUUAGAUAUCCCACUGCAAGCUACUGGGAUACACUUGGGAACUGUCUGCCCUGUAAAUAGUCAUUCCCACCAUUCCCACCAAGUGGGGCUGGGAAUGAUGCAGCUAGGAGGGCAACAGGCCCACUGCAGGCCAGAUGACAUCGGUGGGCAGGGCCACAUCCACUGACAUCACCCCCCCACCCCUGCCCAUUUUUCCUUUCAGUGUAUUGGGAAGGGUGAAGGUUCACACCCCUCUCAGCACAGAGAAAGCACAAUUCAAGCUCCCAGCUUUACAUGCUCCAUGCUGUGCCUCUGAGUUGAGGGACUUUUUAUCGAAUUUUCAGUGGGGCCGGCACACACAGCCCUCAAGACACCUUGAGUUUACUGAGAUAACUCACAUCUGGAUUGUCACAGCCAAUCAUUUCUCCAUAGGAUACUUGAUGGCACAAGCAAUAUGUGGGUUCAUUGGGAUCUACUGGCAUGUCCAAGACAUCUGAAGGAUGAACCGACAGGAUGGUAUCAGCUAAUUCAGACCUGCAAUAGAAGCAACACAAAGAAAUACUAAGUUCAUGCCAGUGAUUCUGGAUGGUUCAGUACUUGGAUUUUGUAAUGCCAUCUUUUGUCAGCCAUGUUCAUAUAUUACAAGGUCAUAUUUCUCUUGAAUUUGCACAUCUAAACAUGCUAAUGGACCUAGCAAAAUUCAUAUCAAUAAAAUCACAAGGCAGUGAAUUAA